CCCAUAUCCCUUCCUCAAGAGAGGACAGGUACCACUCCUAGUCAACGGAAAGACUCCGGACUGAGCAAGCUCGAACCGUGAAGCCUGGCAGCGCAGCGCUCUAACCAGUUGCGCCAUCCAUGUGGGGGACCCCCUAGAGAGGAGUUCUCCCAAGAUGAGGAGGCCCUGCUCGACCUUCUUUCUCCCACAGGGUAUGCAAAUCUGCCCAUUUCUGACAGCGAGGGUGGUUCUUUGAAUGUAGCUGGUGCUACACAGUGCCUUCCCUCCCAGGCUCUGGGUCCUGCUCAAGAAGGUACCCAUCCAUCCACAAGUGGUACACCGCAGGGAGAGUUUACUGUCAUGGUGAUUGAAGGCGAGGAGCGGAGAAUCCCAAUAAUAUCUGAUAGCAGCCUUGAGUCAAGGUUUCAUGGAGGAGAUUAAGGUGGCACCUCAGCUUCUUAAUGUAAAUGAAGUACGGGACCUUAUUUCCGACCUUGUGGGGAAUCAAAG